AGAGUUUGAUCCUGGCUCAGAAUCAACGCUGGCGGCGUGCCUAACACAUGCAAGUCGAACGAGAAAGUCUCCGCAAGGGGAUGAGUAAAGUGGCGCACGGGUGAGUAACACGUAGCUAACCUACCUUCGAGUGGGGGAUAACCUGGGGAAACUCGGGCUAAUACCGCAUAACGUCCUGGCGGCGCGAGUCGCUGGGAUCAAAGACCCGCAAGGGUCGCUCGUCGAGGGGGCUGCGGCCGAUUAGCUAGUUGGUGAGGUAACGGCCCACCAAGGCGAUGAUCGGUAGCCGGCCUGAGAGGGCGCACGGCCACACUGGCACUGAAACACGGGCCAGACUCCUACGGGAGGCAGCAGUGGGGAAUUUUGCACAAUGCCCGAAAGGGUGAUGCAGCAACGCCGCGUGAGGGAUGAAGGUCUUCGGAUCGUAAACCUCUUUCGACCGAGAAAAACGGGCGGGUGAAGAGUCCGCUCUGAUGGUACCGGUGGAAGAAGCCCCGGCCAACUACGUGCCAGCAGCCGCGGUAAUACGUAGGGGGCGAGCGUUGUUCGGAAUUACUGGGCGUAAAGGGCGUGUAGGCGGUGCGGUAAGUCGGGCGUGAAAUCCCCGGGCUUAACUCGGGGCGGUCGUUCGAAACUGCCGUGCUAGAGUGCAGGAGAGGGAAGUGGAAUUCCC
rnacentral:rRNA from 1 species